UACGUAGGGGGCAAGCGUUGUCCGGAUUUAUUGGGCGUAAAGAGCGUGUAGGCGGCCAGACAGGUCCGUUGUGAAAACUCGAGGCUCAACCUCGAGACGCCGAUGGAAACCGUCUGGCUAGAGUCCGGAAGAGGAGAGUGGAAUUCCCGGUGUAGCGGUGAAAUGCGCAGAUAUCGGGAAGAACACCCGUGGCUAAGGCGGCUCGCUAGUACGGUACUGACGCUGAGACGCGAAAGCGUGGGGAGCGAACAGG
rnacentral:rRNA from 1 species